rnacentral:rRNA from 1 species
GACGGAGGGAGCUAGCGUUGUUCGGAAUGACUGGGCGUAAAGGGCGCGUAGGCGGUUUUUUAAGUGAGGCGUGAAAGCCCUGGGCUUAACCCAGGAGGUGCGUUUCAGACUGGAAGACUUGAGGACGAGAGAGGAAAGUGGAAUUCCUAGUGUAGAGGUGAAAUUCGUAGAUAUUAGGAAGAACACCAGUGGCGAAGGCGACUUUCUGGCUCGUAACUGACGCUGAGGCGCGAAAGCGUGGGGAGCAAACAGGAU